GAUGAAGAACGCAGCGAAAUGCGAUACGUAAUGUGAAUUGCAGAAUUCAGUGAAUCAUCGAAUCUUUGAACGCAUAUUGCGCUCUCUGGUAUUCCGGAGAGCAUGCUUGUUUGAGUAUCAGUAAACACCUCAACUCCCUUUUCUUUUUUGAAAUUGGAGCUGGACUUGAGUGAUCCCAACGCUUUCUUCCAAGAAAGUGGCGGGUUGCUUGAAAUGCAGGUGCAGCUGAACUUUUCUCUGAGCUAUAAGCAUAUCUAUUUAGUCUGCCUAAAAAACAGAUUAUUACCUUUGCUGCAGCUAACAUAAAGGAGACUAGUUCUUGUGCUGACUGAUGCAGGAUUCACAGUGACAGCUUCGGCUGACUUUGUAAACUCGAUCUCAAAUCAAGUAAGACUACCCGCUGAACUUAAGCAUAUCAAUAAGCGGAGGA
rnacentral:misc_RNA from 1 species